rnacentral:rRNA from 1 species
AGGACGAACGCUGGCGGCGUGCUUAACACAUGCAAGUGGAGCGACGAACCAGGCUUCGGCCUGGGGCAGAGCCGCGAACGGGUGAGUAACACGUGGGUAACCUGCCCUGAUGAUUGGGACAACCCGAGGAAACUCGGGCUAAUACCAAAUGUGCCCUCUGGCCUCAAGGCCUCUGGGGAAAGGAAGCUUCGGCCUCCGCAUUGGGAUGGGCCCGCGGCCCAUUAGCUUGUUGGUGAGGUAACGGCUCACCAAGGCUACGAUGGGUAGCUGGUCUGAGAGGACGAUCAGCCACACUGGGACUGAGACACGGCCCAGACUCCUACGGGAGGCAGCAGUGGGGAAUCUUGCGCAAUGCGCGAAAGCGUGACGCAGCAACGCCGCGUGGGGAAGACGGCCUUCGGUUGUAAACCUCUUUAGUAGGAAGAAGCGAAAGUGACGGUACCUGCAGAAAAGCACCGGCUAACUACGUGCCAGCAGCCGC